CACGGCCCGACAACAUAUCCGACUGUAAGAGAGUCGAACCUUUGUGUGAGUAUUUGCUUUCUAUCUGCUUGUUUGCUGACUAAGCUGACCGGCGUGUGUUUAUGUCUGUCUGUGUGUGUGUGUCUGUGUGUGUGUGUGUUGGGGGGUAUUUGGUGUGUCUUAAUGUCUGAGGAAUGUUAAUGCGCGGUGGACAGCAAUCAAGGCAGAAAGCAGAACAAUGGAAAAUGGAUGAAGUGGGAGGAUAAAGGAGCUGGCAGGUCAGAUUAAUGAAGCUGAAUAAUGUGAAGUCUGACUGACCGAUACACUCGCAGACUGAUUUAUCGUUCCUCAUCCUGUGGAUUCAUUGUGCGUUCAACUUUCGCAUCAUUUCGGGAAAAUCUGUUCUUCAUAACGCUCAUCUGAAAAAGUCAGCGUUCCUGAAAUCGAACCAAACGUCCAAAAAUAGUCGAGAUACUGAGGGAAAUGUUGAUAAAAAGCAGAUUUUGAUCGUUUGCACAAAAUUUUCAUUUCAAAAUAAUGCUAAGUCAACAUGUGAGAUCCAAAUAAAGUUCCUCAAAUGCAAAAAUUCUGGGUUUUCUUCAUCUCCAUUACAGAAAUCACCGUACAAAAGAGAAUCCAAAACCAAGACCAGAGGGCCAUAAAUUAAGUGUACCUCCACUGACAGUUUCCUAAAGUUGGUUUAUUUAAGUCGUAGAGCUCAUCCUAGGGCUGGGCGAUAAUAUACCGAUAUGGGCACAAUGAUGUUGGUUAUCAUCGUAAACUUCUGUGACGGUAAAUUUUCAGUUUAUCGCCCAGCCCUACUCCAGAAUAAUGUUCCUCAAAUGCAAAAAUUCUGGGCUGGAUGGUCGUGAUCCCUGGGCUCUCAGGCAGGACUGUAUUAAAACUGGCAUGACUGUAGUGGGAAUCACCGCAUAGACUUAAAAAUCAGCAUCUGUGAGUGAAGUUUGUCCUUGGAGCCACAAAUGCAGGUUCAAACUGCGCCGUGCAAAGAGGAAAGUAUAUAUAGAUCUAAUCCAGGACCUGAACCCAUCGACAUGGAUGAAGAGGAAGAACUGUCUCAUGGUUUGAUUCUCUUUGGAGAUUAUAGACGCUGCUUCCUCCACUCUCAAAAGGAGAGGAACCACUUUUUUAGGGAAGACCCGGAAUGAGACAACACCAAACCACAUCCUGCAAGUGGUCCAACUCUAUGGCUCUGAAGUAGAAGAGUCCUGCUGCUAAACUGAUCCAUCUGCAGGACUCUGGUGAAAAAUUCAACAAAGGAGACCCCAAAGUAGAAACUCUCUAGAAUGAGGCAACACUUAACUUUAAAACUCAAUAAACUGGUCUCCUCUCUCCCUAAACGUGACUACAAUCAAAGGAUGCAGACUUCUUAAAGAUUUUCAAAGAUAUUAGGAGUGAAAUCUUUUACUUUCUCCCUCCACACAUCUUCUUAAAGGGUCUAAUCCUCGUCAGUGAAUCCACCCUCAGUGAAAAGUAAAAGGUCAUUAUCACCCCUGAUCUCUUAACCACCUCCAGCUCUGAGGACAUUAAAAGUCAAAUAUCUCCUCUCAUUACCGCUCCUUCCUCCAUUUCUCACCAAAAGGAGCAUCCUGAGCCCAACAAAAGAUCCCAGGAAUGUCUCCUCUUCUCUCACCGGGUAAUGCUCGGGCCUCAGGAAUGUGGAGGAGGUGGAGAGAGGACUCAAUGAAAAGAAAAGAGAGGAACGAGGAGGAGUCCUCCUGCGUCUGGUCCCCCUCCUCGUCCAGGCAAUCAUCUCCAGUCGUCUCAGCGUGAGAAAGAACAAAGCAGGAGGAGAGGAGGAGAGUGUUUCGUUUCUUCAUGGCCUCAUGCACCGUGUCUCUAAUUGCAGGAAUGAGAGG
rnacentral:lncRNA from 1 species